UGGGGAAUCUUAGACAAUGGGGGCAACCCUGAUCUAGCCAUGCCGCGUGAGUGAUGAAGGCCUUAGGGUUGUAAAGCUCUUUCAGCUGGGAAGAUAAUGACGGUACCAGCAGAAGAAGCCCCGGCUAACUCCGUGCCAGCAGCCGCGGUAAUACGGAGGGGGCUAGCGUUGUUCGGAAUUACUGGGCGUAAAGCGCACGUAGGCGGACUGGAAAGUUGGAGGUGAAAUCCUGGGGCUCAACCCCAGAACUGCCUUCAAAACUAUCAGUCUGGAGUUCGAGAGAGGUGAGUGGAAUUCCGAGUGUAGAGGUGAAAUUCGUAGAUAUUCGGAGGAACACCAGUGGCGAAGGCGGCUCACUGGCUCGAUACUGACGCUGAGGUGCGAAAGCGUGGGGAGCAAACAGG
rnacentral:rRNA from 3 species